AGUGAACGCUGGCGGUAGGCCCAACACAUGCAAGUCGAACGGCAGCACAGUAAGAGCUUGCUCUUACGGGUGGCGAGUGGCGGACGGGUGAGGAAUACAUCGGAAUCUACUUUUUCGUGGGGGAUAACGUAGGGAAGCUUACGCUAAUACCGCAUACGACCUACGGGUGAAAGCAGGGGAUCUUCGGACCUUGCGCGAUUGAAUGAGCCGAUGUCGGAUUAGCUAGUUGGCGGGGUAAAGGCCCACCAAGGCGACGAUCCGUAGCUGGUCUGAGAGGAUGAUCAGCCACACUGGAACUGAGACACGGUCCAGACUCCUACGGGAGGCAGCAGUGGGGAAUAUUGGACAAUGGGCGCAAGCCUGAUCCAGCCAUACCGCGUGGGUGAAGAAGGCCUUCGGGUUGUAAAGCCCUUUUGUUGGGAAAGAAAAGCAGCAGGUUAAUACCCCGCUGUUCUGACGGUACCCAAAGAAUAGGCACCGGCUAACUUCGUG
rnacentral:rRNA from 1 species